rnacentral:rRNA from 1 species
GUGGGGAAUAUUGGACAAUGGGGGGAACCCUGAUCCAGCCAUGCCGCGUGUGUGAAGAAGGCCUUUUGGUUGUAAAGCACUUUAAGCGAGGAGGAGGCUACCGAGAUUAAUACUCUUGGAUAGUGGACGUUACUCGCAGAAUAAGCACCGGCUAACUCUGUGCCAGCAGCCGCGGUAAUACAGAGGGUGCAAGCGUUAAUCGGAUUUACUGGGCGUAAAGCGCGCGUAGGUGGCCAAUUAAGUCAAAUGUGAAAUCCCCGAGCUUUACUUGGGAAUUGCAUUCGAUACUGGUUGGCUAGAGUAUGGGAGAGGAUGGUAGAAUUCCAGGUGUAGCGGUGAAAUGCGUAGAGAUCUGGAGGAAUACCGAUGGCGAAGGCAGCCAUCUGGCCUAAUACUGACACUGAGGUGCGAAAGCAUGGGGAGCAAACAGGAUUAGAUACCCGAGUAGUCC